rnacentral:rRNA from 1 species
GUGGGGGAUAUUGCGCAAUGGGGGAAACCCUGACGCAGCAACGCCGCGUGAAGGAAGAAGGUCUUCGGAUUGUAAACUUCUUUUGUCAGGGACGAAGAAAGUGACGGUACCUGACGAAUAAGCUCCGGCUAACUACGUGCCAGCAGCCGCGGUAAUACGUAGGGAGCGAGCGUUGUCCGGAUUUACUGGGUGUAAAGGGUGCGUAGGCGGCCGAGCAAGUCAGUUGUGAAAACUAUGGGCUUAACCCAUAACGUGCAAUUGAAACUGUCCGGCUUGAGUGAAGUAGAGGUAGGCGGAAUUCCCGGUGUAGCGGUGAAAUGCGUAGAGAUCGGGAGGAACACCAGUGGCGAAGGCGGCCUACUGGGCUUUAACUGACGCUGAGGCACGAAAGCAUGGGUAGCAAACAGGA